rnacentral:lncRNA from 1 species
CCAAUGAUAAUCACCUAUUUGAUCACAAGAUGCCAUUUGGAUACUUGAUGAAAGUCACUAGUGUUUUCAUCAAAUAUCUUAAUUACGCAUGCAAAAUUACUUGAAUAGCAUUCCUAAUUACGUUAUGCUUGGUUAAGAAUUCUAUUCAAAUCGGCAAACGAAAACAUUCUGUUACGUCUCGAUUCAUUUGAGAAGCCAUAUAAACAACGAGAGCGAGUGUUUCACCGGGAUAUCCAA